UACGGGAGGAGCGAGCAUUAUUCGGAAUUAUUGGGCGUAAAGAGCUCGUAGGCGGUUUGUCGCGUCUGCUGUGAAAAUCCAGGGCUUAACCCUGGACCUGCAGUGGGUACGGGCAGACUAGAGUGCGGUAGGGGAGAUCGGAAUUCCUGGUGUAGCGGUGAAAUGCGCAGAUAUCAGGAGGAACACCGGUGGCGAAGGCGGAUCUCUGGGCCGUAACUGACGCUGAGGAGCGAAAGCAUGGGGAGCGAACAGG
rnacentral:rRNA from 1 species